rnacentral:lncRNA from 10 species
UUUUAAACAUAAGGAAGCCGACUCUAUGAUGAAGAAUUAGCACAGGUUAUGUGGCUGGCAAUUGCUGGAUUCUUCAGUAGAACUCCUGAUUCUAGAUGUUCUAUUAUAGUGGAAAUAUCUCUGCGAUAAGAAGACAUGGAUUCUAGCUCCAUCUCCAGAACUUAGGAGCCAGGAUUCACUUAAAGGAGACACGGGCUGUGCUGGCUUCUCAGAUUUGCAAAAGAUCAAUGUCUCCAAGUACCCAAAACUUACCUGGGGUUUUCAAGAUUAUGCAGCUA